AAUGUCCCGUAUUUGCUCCUCAUUUGUCCCGUUUUUACCUGGUUAGCUAAUGGUCAGCAUAUAUUUAACCAGUAGGUUUUAUUACAAAUACUUUUCGGCAGUAAGCAUGCCUGCAGCUAGAGUUCUGGCUAUUCUUGAGGCCAACUCUUCCCCUGUAUUGAACUGCAAAUGAAUCAAUAGUUUAUGAAUACUUUCUGCCACCCUUAGUUAUAAAAUAAAGUUUGGCUUAGUUGGUAAGUAUCCUCCGAUUUCCCGUAUCAUUAGAGUUCAAAUCUCAAUUUAAAAAAGUGACAAAAAAGUUCAUCAUGAACAUAAACAAAUUGACAAGGUGCGUGUAGAACCCCACAGAUGUUUUGGUUCACGAUCAUUUUUUUUUUUUGCAAGUCGAUAAAGUAGGAGAUUUUGGUCUCGAAAUUUUGAUAAAAAUCUGUAUCAACAUUUCACGAUGCUACUUAAUGAGCGUUAAAUUUCUUUAUGAAUCGAUGACGAUCGCUAUCGAUUUGUUAUAUGAGCGUCUUUAAAGCUCGACAUAAAGAAAUGUGAAGAAAAUUGAAGAAAUGGUUGACCGGGUCGUUCAAAUCUACUCAAAAGAGGGUAAUUUUGACUCACUUUUGAAGUUUCAAGUUAGCUGUCAAAAGUGAGUAACUUUAUUUUAUCAAAGUGAGUAACUUUUUACUCAAUCAUGAAAGAAAUCGACCUUACUCAUUUUUGAGUAAACACAAACAUAUUUUGACUCACUUUGUAAACGUCAAAGACUUGUGAAAAUUUCGCGCGCUCGAAUUGACAUCCUCAGUUGUGGUGAAAUUACUUCCGUCGACGUGAUGUCGGACUGUUUUCGAAAACAGUAGAGAUAAAAGCCUAGCCGGCAGAGCAAUGACGCUUCGGAAGUUCAACCGGCGAACACCAGAUAAGUGCUGCGAAGUCAAUAAUCCUGAUAUCAAGUGAAUCGCUUCACUUGACCUCGUGGUCCGAGUGAAAAUGGCCAAGUCCUGGUUUUGAACCGAACAAUCGAACAACCACAAGAAAAAAUAAUAAACAUCUAACCGGGAAGGCUACUGGCUCGGUCAAACUACAUCCUCCAUGACUUUCAUCAAUCCCCCAGAGAUUUACAACAUCCGGGGAUCCAUUCCAGAGCAGCGAAUAUGUACACAAAUAUCACAAUAUUUUUACUUGUUAUCAUGUAUUAUCCAUAUAGUUAUGUAUGAUAUAAUGAAUAAAUGUUAUUCUCUUUGUAUA